GAGGCGGAGCCGCGUCAUGGCCGCCGGGCGCGUCCCGCCGGGCGCCCUAAGCUUGAGGCAGUUCCUGAGGCGGCAGCAGGUCCUUCAGUUAUACCGCAAGAUCCUGCGGGCUAUCCGGGAGGUCCCUGCUGAACAGGAUCGCCGCUACUUAAAGGACUGGGCCAGGGAGGAAUUCAAGAGAAAUAAGGAUGCUACAGAAGAGCCAGGGCCCAAGGAAUUUGUGGCUGAACUAUGCAGACAAAGCCUUAGAGAACAUAUAUAAUGUUGGGAGAAACAGCCACCUGCUCUGUAAAAGCCCUGUCUCCAUAAUGCCCCCUGCACGCUUGUCACUGCUGAAGUGCAGAGGUGGUAGACACAGAAGCAUAAAGAAAACAUUGUUAGGAGUUUGAAUCCAGUUAAAAACUGAGUUAUUAAACAAAACCACAACCAAGCACAUCAUUAAGGAACUGGGAAAAAUUAAUUCGUUUAGGCAUCUGUUUCUUAACCACCUCAGUGACUACAGUGUUACUUCACACAAAGAAAUAAUAGAUGACAGCAGUGCCGACUCUAUUUGGUUUUACAGGAUGCAAUCAGGAUGAUGAUUACUCAAGGCAACAUGCAACUGCAGGAACUUCAGAGAACACUUAAGUUGGCA